UGAGAUGGUAAGGAAGGCUCGCGCGAGGCCGGAGGUCGUGGUUCGAAUCCCACGAACCACAUACACAUGUAUUAUGCGUGAAAAUAGCAUGACUUGUGACUUGCGAUGCUACCCUUUUAAAAAGGGGUCCUAAAAUGGUUGUUCCUCCAGCAGUGAUAUCAUAUCUAUUUGACAUGGACCUGUUUGAAAAAAAAUGUGACAUAAGUCAAGUAAAUGGGUUGCACGGAGAAAUGUGUCAU
rnacentral:lncRNA from 1 species